GGAAAGCGCCGAAUAAAGAAGGACGAAGAAGGGGACAGAGACGUCUCUGUCCCCUUCUUCGUCCUUGUUUAUUCGGCGCUUUCC
rnacentral:pre_miRNA from 1 species